AGGAUGAACGCUGGCGGCGUGCUUAACACAUGCAAGUCGAACGGUGAAAGAGGAGCUUGCUCCUCUGGAUCAGUGGCGAACGGGUGAGUAACACGUGAGUAACCUGCCCUUGACUCUGGGAUAAGCGUUGGAAACGACGUCUAAUACCGGAUACGACCUCCGAAGGCAUCUUCUGGAAGUGGAAAGAAUUUCGGUCAAGGAUGGACUCGCGGCCUAUCAGCUAGUUGGUGAGGUAACGGCCCACCAAGGCGACGACGGGUAGCCGGCCUGAGAGGGUGACCGGCCACGACUGGGACUGAGACACGGCCCAGACUCCUACGGGAGGCAGCAGUGGGGAAUAUUGCACAAUGGGCGCAAGCCUGAUGCAGCAACGCCGCGUGAGGGACGACGGCCUUCGGGUUGUAAACCUCUUUUAGUAGGGAAGAAGCGAAAGUGACGGUACCUGCAGAAAAGCACCGGCUAACUACGUGCCAGCAGCCGC
rnacentral:rRNA from 1 species